AUAUAUAUAUAUAUAUAUAUAUAUUUUAGGUUUCCAAACAGUUUUUUAAAUUUACUAGAAUAAAUAUAAGGUACGUUUGCGUCGUACCUGCAGGGUUGGAGGUUCGAAUCUCGCCUCCACCAUGUGUGCAAGGAGCCCGGGUGCUCUCCCUGUACCUUGGGGGCUUGUUCUGGGUACUCCAGUUUCCUUCCCCAGUCCAAAGACACAUGUAGGAUAAGCGGUACAGAAAAUGGUUGGAUGCACGGAAGUCACAGAAAAACAUUUGUAUUUUCAAAAUGUAGAAAUUUCAUCUGGUCUUGUAGAAAUAUAAAGCUGAGUAUCAUCAGCAUAACAGUGGAAAUGAAUCCCGUGUUUUUUAAUAAUAUUUCCAAGGGGCAGCAUGUAUAAAGAAAACAGCAAGGGGGCCUAACACAGAUACUUGCGGAACACCAUACUUCACAGCCGUUAAGUUAGGAAGUUCAUCAUUUAAACAAACAACUUGGUAGCAGUCAGACAGAUAGGAUCUAAACCAUUUUAAUGCCUGUGCCUGAAUACCAAUGUAGUUUUGUAAUCUAUCUAAGAGUACGUCAGGAUCUAUGGUGUCGAACGCAGCACUAAGGUCACGUUAAAGAGAUCUAUUAUCUCCUGCGGAAAGAGAAGCACAUGCGACCACUGAAAGCCGUCCAGUCAAUUUUCUUAUAACACUAUAUAACAGUGUAGAGGUGUGCAGUGGCACUGGGAUCCUGUGGGAUGCAACAAAAACAUUGCUAGAGCAUACAGUCAAAAAAAGUGGCGCUCGUUAACAUGGAAGCAUACUAGAUGAUCGCUCAGAGAUUAACUGCAUUCAAUCUUCAUUAACAGUCCUGUGCACAGGACUUGAAUUGAGUUUCUGUUUACUGCUAUUUAUGCUCACAUUUUUAUACAUAGAGACUAACGAGCAGCGCAACGAAAAAGCGUUUGCCUUAUCUUCAUGAGAUUGCAAGUUCGAAUCCUAACAAUGCCAUAGCACAUCUGUAGCCAGGAGCCAAGGGAGCAAAAUUGGCUGGGAAGGGAUGCCAUUCUCUCUACCCUGUCAAUCACGGCAGAACUAGCCAAUUGAGGGCGUCUCUGAGAUCAUGUAUGUGGAAGAGUAUGGAUAGUGCUUUCCUCAAAGUGUGUUAUGUUGCCCUAUGAUGCAGCAUGAGUUCAUGUAUCUCGGAGGAAGCACAUUUAGCCUUGCUAGCCGAUGUAUGAAAGGAGAGAGAUGUCUGGUAGGUGUUAAUUGGCAGGUGACCAAAUUUUCCAGAAAAAUCCACAUUUUCUGUUACUUUGGCUGACUU
ensembl:lncRNA